rnacentral:rRNA from 1 species
UACGUAGGGUGCGAGCGUUACUCGGAAUUACUGGGCGUAAAGCGUGCGCAGGCGGUUUGGUAAGACAGAUGUGAAAUCCCCGGGCUUAACCUGGGAAUUGCAUUUGUGACUGCCCGGCUAGAGUGUGGCAGAGGGGGGUAGAAUUCCACGUGUAGCAGUGAAAUGCGUAGAUAUGUGGAGGAAUACCGAUGGCGAAGGCAGCCCCCUGGGAUAACACUGACGCUCAUGCACGAAAGCGUGGGGAGCAAACAGG